rnacentral:misc_RNA from 1 species
UCUCCGUUGGUGAACCAGCGGAGGGAUCAUUAAAGAGUUGCAAAACUCCCAAACCAUUGUGAACAUACCUUCAACGUUGCUUCGGCGGGUUGGCCCCGGAAGGCCCAAAAAGCCGCCGGAACCAGGCGCCCGCCGGGGGACCCAAACUCUUGUAUUUCUUACUUUGCAUGUCUGAGUGGAAUCAUAAACAAAUGAAUCAAAACUUUCAACAACGGAUCUCUUGGUUCUG